ensembl:miRNA mir103-2 microRNA mir-103-2
UGUUCCCUCUCUGCCUUCAGCCUCUUUAUGAUGCUGCCUUGUGGCGUCUUGAUCAAGCAGCAUUGUACAGGGCUAUGAAGGCGUGGAGGAGCUUCUC